GGUUUCUCCUUGAGGAGACAUGGUGGGGGCCAGUCAGGCAGCCCAUGCCAUGUGUCCUCAUGGAGAGGCC
ensembl:miRNA